GUUGGGUUCGGAUCUGGUGAUGGGUAUUGGUGGUGGGGUAGUAGGUGUAGGGGUUGUGGGUGGUGUUGGGUGGCGAUGGUGGUGGUGAUGGUGAAGACCAUUGUUGUUGUUGUUGUUGUUGUUGUUGUUGUUAUGGUGGUGGUGGUUAGAGUUGCUGCUAUUGCUACAGCUAGAACUGUUGGAGCUAUGAGUAUCUGGUGAUGAAAUAAGACAUGGGUUGUGAAAUUCUUGAGGUUUUGGUAAGGUUUCCAUUGAUGGGUCUGUAUCUCUAGAGAGAGAGAGCAAAUUAGCUGAAUUGAGUUGAACUUAAUAAGAGAAGCUUGAGAACA
rnacentral:lncRNA from 1 species